ensembl:lncRNA
GUGAAUAAGUUUUGUGUCAAGUCUGAAGAUGACUAGUUUCUUUGGCAGCAUGCAUUGCAUGAUGAAAAUUAACAAAAAGCAUUGUCAUAAAAGUAGUUGUAUCUGGAAAACCAGAAUCCAUCUUCCAUUGUCAGAGAUUUUCUAGGAAAAUCGUACAAAUUCUCUGUUUUCCCAUGUUUUGGAUAUAUAAUCUGAGAUCCUGCAAUCUUUCUUGAAGAAUGGCUGAGCUUUCACUGCAGCCACUAAGAUAAAUAGGAACGCUACUCUCAGCACACAUACUGCUACAUAUUCUGAGAAAUCAGACCUCAGGCAUCUCAAAUUACUACCCCAAAUUAGCCAGCACUUUUGACAAUUCCCUAUCUGUAACAUGGGGAGAAUGAUACUACAGGGACAUUAUGAAGAUAAAUUCAUUAAUUUCUGUUAAUAACUAGGAUACUAAGAAAAAAAAAAAACACCAGGGAAAAGCCCAUUAGAAAAUGAAUAAUUAUGUAUUCAGUGCAAGGUUUGGAUGGUGUGCAGGAAAUUAGGCAUGGGGCCAUAUAUUAAAUGAUGAGAAGAAAAUGAAAUACUGUACGACUGCUCAUUUUGUGAGCACAGUCUGUCUUGUGCACUGAAUGUGUCAGUGGUCCUGGGGGUGGACUUGGCUGUAUAAUUAAAGACAGCAUCAUAAUAUAUGCACAAAGACCCCUGUAAUUCUCUUCUAUAUCCCAUUGUAUUGUGAAUUUCUAAUUCUAUCAUUUCUUUGCUAAGUAUCUUUUCAGGUGCUAAAUGUAUGCUUAGAAUAUGAAAUAAACUGCUGAAUGUUAUGGGUGGGAAAUUACUAGGUCCCAGCUUCAGAAAUGAUGGAGCUCCCUUAUUUUUUUUAUCCAGUAUAAUCUGUUAAAUUUGUGAGAGAACCAAAAGGAUGACCAUUUGGACACCUUUGAAAAUGCUACGACCUUUCAUGAACAUUAAGCCUUUCCUUGUACUGGUAUUGACUGCUUUGUGAAUGAAACAUAGCACAGGUCAGCCAUGUGAAUUGCAUGGAUCUGUAGAAUCCAAGAAAUCUUUAUAUUUCUCAGAAGAUGAGCAGGAUGAACAGAGCUUCUGUGAGCGUUGAGCAUACUCUAUGGAAUACGAAGGUAGAGAGUUCUUUGAAGCUAAGUUUGUAUAAAAACAGUCUCUUUAGAAUUUCAAGCCAUUUUCAUAGACUAGAGGCAGUAAAUAUAUUUUCAUUUCAAUCAUUUGAAUAAAGCAGUUAAUUUUACAAUGAUUCUCUUCAUCAAACUUGUCCAAAAUUCUGACUGAAGAGGUGUGAAAACCUGGACAACACACAUCAAGAAAAAGGCUAGCAGGACUCAAAGUGACUGAAAAUACAAGCCUCCAGAUAAGGUGGUAGAAGCCUGCAAUUGUGUUAUUGACAGUUGCACCUGAGACAUGGACUGUUGUGAAACAGCACAUUUGAGGUACACUGCAUACCAACUAUGAGGCAGAUCCAAGGCCUUCGAGGUACAUGUGGCUAUUCUGCCACAUGUGUCUCAGUAGCUGACUUCUUUGCCAAACUUCCUUAUGAUUACAUCUCUACUACGCUAACUGUAUUUCAAAAUCUGCCUUAAAGUUAGUUCAAAGCUCAUUUUAAUCACUAAAAAGAAAUUGCCAUUGGCUUCACUGCAGAUAUCAUCAGUUGGCUCUGAUCCAUUCCACCACAGGGUCUGAGGGAGCUCGUCAGCCCUUUCUCCAGCAUCCAUGUCUGGGUGGCAUCUGGCCAUUUACUAGUUGGAAGAGACAGCACUAAGGUAAUGCAUUCACUUCCUGGGUGUAACAAAAACUCUUCAGAGGGUGAAGCUGCUUCAACAUUUCUGAAAGUCCUUUGUCACCUCACUCCUUCCAGUACCCUAAACAAUUGAGAAACUGAGUUGAUAAAAUAUUCCUUUGAGGGAAAUUGAGUUGGAAGUCCUCAUGGAUACAGAUGGCAGCAUCAGAACUGUGAGCUGAUUGGGAAAGUGUGAGAAGAUGCAUCAGAUCUUGCUGUGCUUUCAAACAUGCAUAAAGACAGCUCUAUCUUUGGCAUGGAACAAGCAUGGAGAAACUUUAAUAACAACGCAAGACGUAGUGCUGUAACCUAGGUUCAUAAGUUUCUUUUUCGUUGCCUUCAACAAAACCACCACUUAAAUCAAACUCUUCAUAAGAAAUGCUGAUCUGCAGAAUAUUACCAGAUGGGUCUCCUGCCUUCUGAAGAAAGGGGGAAAUGAGAGAGCCUCAUGUUUAACGGCAUAUGAAAGAAGAAAUACAAUGUGUAAACUUUCCACUGACGGAUAUAAUAGUGUUCUCACUUUUAAAGAAAAACAGUACUUCCUAGCAGGAGGCCUGCAAGAAAUUUAACAAUUACUCAAGAUUUAGUUGUACAGCAUGGCAUUUUCGAACAUGUGCAGAGUCUGUUAUUUUUUGUAAUUAAAUUAAUUUAAAUAAUAAAUAAAG